GAUGAACGCUGGCGGCGUGCCUAAUACAUGCAAGUCGAGCGAACAGACGAGGAGCUUGCUCCUCUGACGUUAGCGGCGGACGGGUGAGUAACACGUGGAUAACCUACCUAUAAGACUGGGAUAACUUCGGGAAACCGGAGCUAAUACCGGAUAAUAUAUUGAACCGCAUGGUUCAAUAGUGAAAGACGGUUUUGCUGUCACUUAUAGAUGGAUCCGCGCCGCAUUAGCUAGUUGGUAAGGUAACGGCUUACCAAGGCAACGAUGCGUAGCCGACCUGAGAGGGGGGGCGGCCACACUGGAACUGAGACACGGGCCAGACUCCUACGGGAGGCAGCAGUAGGGAAUCUGCCGCAAUGGGCGAAAGCCUGACGGAGCAACGCCGCGUGAGUGAUGAAGGUCUUCGGAUCGUAAAACUCUGUUAUUAGGGAAGAACAAAUGUGUAAGUAACUAUGCACGUCUUGACGGUACCUAAUCAGAAAGCCACGGCUAACUACGUG
rnacentral:rRNA from 1 species